AAAUGUGUAAGUGAAUACAGGGUGGUAAAAAGAAAACUCACACUCUUCCAGUUCUAAGGUUUUAUAUAUCAGGGCAUUAUACCCUUACUGCAUAGGAAAUAAGAGGAUAAAUACCAGCCAGCUGUUGUUAACCAAAUGCAUUUGUUUAAAUAUUCAUUAGCAAGUGUGACAACCUUUGUAAACUGACAUUUUCAGGUCUGGAGCAUCCAGGUGUGUGUUAACACACUGCCAAGGAGGAAGGACAUCAGCAAUGAUCUUAAAGAAGGAAUUGCUGCUUUGCAUCAGUCUUGGAGAAGUUAUAAGAUCUUUUCCACAUAAUUUGAAGGCCAUCAUUCUACUCUGAGAAAGACAAUUCACAAGUGGAACACAUUCAAGACAGUUACAAAUAUUCCCAAGAUGAGAAACUUCAAGAAAAUGUGAUUGCUGCUUCAGCAUGUUGAUGUCAUCUGUUACUGGCUGCUCGAGAAUCUCAAUUCACUGUGUGCUCAGCAGAGGAAAUGUUCAGGAGAGUCGUUGCAUGUAAGUCACAACAGGAAAGAAAAUGUUCUCUGUGAUUUGUUUCCCCAAAUAUACAAUACAUUUUAGUUUUAGUUGUAUUAUUUUUUAUUAAAUAUUGUUUUUUUAAUAGGAGACAGGUAAGUAUAUAGUAUAUAUUAAGUACUACAUUUAUGUACACAUUUACAGCAUUCAGUAUUGUGUAAACAUUGUGAACCACUCUUUCUUUAUAUUUUGUUGGGAAAAAAUUGAUUUAUCCUCAACUGAUGGUGUUCUAUUGGGUAUUUAUCUAUGCAGGCAUGCUUUUACUAUAUUGGGAGUAAAAUCAUUGUCGUGCUGAAAAUUGAAGCGGUUGCAAAUUGGACACUUUCUGCAGUGGACAAAAAUCUGAAGGCACCUUUCUACUUUCUUCAUUUGGGGUUCACUAAUGUUUCACUAAUGUUUUACAGAUGCUGUAAACACUCAAGGAUCACUCAAGAUGCUCUCCUGCCCCUACAGUCUCUAAUGAAUAUUGCAGUUUGUCUGCUAGCAAAUGCUACAAGAAGCCCAAGAAUCAAGAAUCAGAAAUCACUGACAAGAAAAAUAUGUGUGCACUCAGUCCACUAGUGUCCAGUCAGAGAAAAGUAUAUAAGGUCAAUGUUUAUAUAGAACCGAGCUACAGGCCAUAAUCAGAUUCCUGCUCCUCCUUAAUGAGCUGUUUAAGACUGCCGUUUGUUAGAAUUGUACAAAUUCUAUUUUUUGCCUUAUGCACAGUAUUUCCAUGUAUGUUUACAUGUUUUUCAAUAAAUCACUGCAUCCAUUUCUCAUAUAAACAAAUGAGUGGUGACUUAAGAUGUUUUCAAAGUACAGUAUGAAACGAAUAAAACAGAUGAAGGUUAAAUCAAGUCAAACUAGUUGUCCCAGUGGCGAAAAACCACAGCCCUGUUUCAGUUGUGGCCACACUGCCCCCAGAACUGUCAAAACAUUUGGAAAGGAAGGCACAGGUGUUAUAAGAUUGAUAAAAAGCUACCCUCUUUUUUCCUGUAUCAUAAUCUUUGUUUGACUUAAAAUUAAUUAUUUUAACAACAGUCAAUUUUAAUAUCUUUGAAAAACGCUUACAAGUGACUUUGAAAGUAAAUCUUAAGAGAGCAAUGACAAGACUCCAAUUUUCUCUGUGGGCCAGCGAGGUGAUGUGGGAGGGAUUUAUAGAGCAGGUGAGAUUAGCUGUGAGGGGGGAACCGUUAGAGAGACAGGAGCUUAAGCGGAUGACUCAGUGGCAAAUGAUGUGUGUGAGAGUGGUUACUGGGAGUGGAAGAGAAAGAGACUGGCUAUCAGUAGUGGAUUUCCUUUGUUCAUGGGUGUGUGAAACCAACUACAUGUGUUGGCACUCCUGUGAGUGUUGUUCUUAAACUCUACUUCUCCGUCGUCUUCUUCUCUAUUGUGUUAUCCCUUCAUAUGAAAUAUUCACU
ensembl:lncRNA